rnacentral:misc_RNA from 1 species
GAUGAAGAACGCAGCGAAAUGCGAUACGUAAUGUGAAUUGCAGAAUUCAGUGAAUCAUCGAAUCUUUGAACGCAUAUUGCGCUCUCUGGUAUUCCGGAGAGCAUGCUUGUUUGAGUAUCAGUAAACACCUCAACUCCCUUUUCUUUUUUGAAAUUGGAGCUGGACUUGAGUGAUCCCAACGCUUUCUUCCAAGAAAGUGGCGGGUUGCUUGAAAUGCAGGUGCAGCUGAACUUUUCUCUGAGCUAUAAGCAUAUCUAUUUAGUCUGCCUAAAAAACAGAUUAUUACCCUUGCUGCAGCUAACAUAAAGGAGACUAGUUCUUGUGCUGACUGAUGCAGGAUUCACAGAGACAGCUUCGGCUGACUUUGUAAACUCGAUCUCAAAUCAAGUAAGACUACCCGCUGAACUUAAGCAUAUCAAUAAGCGGAGGA